ACCAGGGCUUCGGCCCUGGGGACAGCGUCGAACGGGUGAGUAACACGUGGGUAACCUGCCCUCGGCACCGGGAUAGCCCGGGGAAACCCGGAUUAAUACCGGACAGCCUCACGAGCCCUCGGGCGAGUGAGAAAAGGUGGCUUCGGCUUCCGGCUGAGGAUGGGCCCGCGGCCGAUUAGCUUGUUGGUGGGGUAACGGCUCACCAAGGCUCCGAUCGGUAGCUGGUCUGAGAGGACGAUCAGCCACACUGGGACUGAGACACGGCCCAGACUCCUACGGGAGGCAGCAGUGGGGAAUCUUGCGCAAUGGGCGAAAGCCUGACGCAGCGACGCCGCGUGCGGGAAGAAGGCCUUCGGG
rnacentral:rRNA from 1 species